rnacentral:misc_RNA from 1 species
GUCGAAUCCUAUAACCUGACACAAGUGUCCGUGCAAGAGCACAUUCGUGAUUUUUCAAUCUGUGGCCUUCAUCAAUUAUCAGAUAGUGCCAAUGAAUUUUCUUCAGAAAUGCUUUGUCUCUCAUAAUAAGAUCAUAAUGUGUGAUCAACACACUGAACCUCCCCUCUCCUGUCAACUCCUCCCUCAGUGCCUUCCUUUCUUCCAAACGACCAUCGUAAAGAAUAGCAACAAUGCUAGGAGCCCAUGUUGAGAAUUCCGUAAUCCAAUUAGGUAGUACAGCUUU